ACGUGGAUAACCUACCUAUAAGACUGGGAGUAACUUCGGGAAACCGGAGCUAAUACCGGAUAAUAUAUUGAACCGCAUGGUUCAAUAGUGAAAGACGGUUUUGCUGUCACUUAUAGAUGGAUCCGCGCCGCAUUAGCUAGUUGGUAAGGUAACGGCUUACCAAGGCAACGAUGCGUAGCCGACCUGAGAGGGUGAUCGGCCACACUGGAACUGAGACACGGUCCAG
rnacentral:rRNA from 1 species